AUGAGUCAUGUGGUGAUUGAAAAUGUGCUUGGGCUGGACCAGCAGUUUGCUGGCCUAGACCUGGCCUAUUCAGAUAAUCAGAGUGGGGGAAGUACAGCCAGCAAAGGGCACUAUAUCCCUUUUCGUUGAGGAACAGAGCAGCUACUAAGGAUUCUACCAUAAAGACAGUUUAGGGUGGCGUUCUAGCAAAGAUAAGGAUGCCUACAGCAGUUUUGAAUCUCCUAAUGAUUCAAGCACUAAGUCUAGCUUCUUCAGAGAUCAUGGAAGUGGAUCAAGGGGAGGGUUUGAUAAUCAUGGAUGGAGUGAUUAUGAUGGCACUGGCAGCCAUUGUGACAGAAGUGGCUUUGGCAAAUUAGCAUGUGGUGAAAACAGUCACUGGUGUGACAAAUAAGAUGAAGAUGAUUGGUCAAAACCACUCCCACCAAGUGAAUGCUGGAACAGGAACUCUUUUCUGGAGGCAACACUGGGAUUAAUUUUGAGAAAUACGAUGACAUUCUAGUUGAGGCAACAGACAGCAAUUGUCCUCCACAUAUUGAAAGUUUCAGUGAUGUUGAGAUGGGAGAAACUAUCAUGGGAAACAUGGAGGUUAUUAUACUAGCCUGACUCCAGUGCAAAAGCAUGCUGUUACUAUUAGAAAAGAGAAAAGAGACUUGAUGGCUUGUGCCCAAACAGGGUCUGGAAAACUGCAGCAUUUCUCUUGCCCAUGUUGAGUCAGAUGUAUUCAGAUGGUCCAAAGGAGGCUUUGAGGGCCAUGAAGGAAAAUUAAAGGUGAGGGCGCAGCAAACAGUACCCAAUCUUCUUGGUAUUAGCCCCAAGAAGAGAAUUGGCAAUACAGAUCAAUGAGAAAGCAAGAAAAUUUUCGUACUGAUCUAGAGUUCCUCCUUGUGUGAUUUAUGGUGGUGCUGUUAUUGUUCAGCAGAUUUGAGUCUUAGAAGGUGGAUGGCACUUGCUACUAGCCACUCCAGGAUAUCUAGUGGAUAUGAUGGAAAGAGGAAAGAUUGGAUUAAACUUUUAUGAAUACUUGGUGUUAGAAGAAGCUGAUCAGAUGUUGGAUAUGGGGUUUGAGCCUCAGAUACAUAGAAAAGUUGAACAAGAUACCAUGCCUCCAAAGGGUGUCCACCAAACUAUGAUGUUUAGUGCUACUUGGCCUAAGGACAUACAGAUGCUCGCUCAUGAUUUCUUCAAUGAAUAUAUUAAUACCUUAUUGGCUGUAUGGAGGAGUUGGCUCUACCUCUGAGAACAUCACAAAGAAAGUUGUUUGGGUGGAAGAAUCAGACAAAGUUGUUUCUGCUUGACCUCCUAAUACAUCCACUUGAUCCCAGGCAAGUACGCACUAACCUUAGGUUUAUGGAGACCAAAAAGGGUUUUUAUUCUCUAGAGGAUAUCUUAUACCAUGAAGGAUAGUCAUGUACCAGUAUCUAUGGACACCAUUCUCAGAGGGAUAGGGAAGAAGCUCUUCACCAGUUACCCUCAGGAAAAAGCCCAAUGCUAGUGGCUAUAGCAGUAGCAGUAAGAGGACUGGACCUUUCAAAUGUGGAACAUGUUAUCAAUUUUGAUUUGCCAAGUGAUAUUGAAGAAUAUGUAUAUGGCAUUGGCCAUACAAGAUGUGUAGAAAACCUUGGCCUGGCCACCUCGUUCUUUAAUGAGGGGAACAUAAAUAUCACUAAGGAUUUGUUGCAUCUUCUUGUUGAAGCUAAACAAGAAGUGCCAUCUUGGUUAGAAAAUAUGGCUUAUGAACACCACUACCAGGGUAGUAAUUGUGGACGUUCUAAGAGUGGCAGAUUUAGUGGAGGAUUUGGUGCCAGAGGCUACUGACAAAAUAGUGGUGCCAGCCGUUCCAGUUUCAGCAGCAGCCAUGCAAGCAGCAGACACAGUGGUGAAGGUGGCCACGGCAGCAGCAGAAGAUUUGGUGGAGGUGGCUAUGGAGGCUUUUGCAACACUAAUAGAUAUGGAGGAAAUUAUAACUCCCAGAGAGUUGACUGGUGGGUAACUGA
rnacentral:lncRNA from 1 species